UACGUAGGUGGCAAGCGUUGUCCGGAUUUACUGGGCGUAAAGAGCGCGCAGGCGGUCGUUCAAGUCGCGUGUGAAAGCUCCCGGCUCAACUGGGGAGGGUCACGCGAUACUGAUCGACUCGAAGGCAGGAGAGGGAAGUGGAAUUCCCGGUGUAGUGGUGAAAUGCGUAGAUAUCGGGAGGAACACCAGUGGCGAAGGCGACUUCCUGGCCUGUUAUUGACGCUGAGGCGCGAAAGCUAGGGGAGCAAACGGG
rnacentral:rRNA from 1 species